rnacentral:rRNA from 1 species
AAUCAACGCUGGCGGCGUGCCUCAGACAUGCAAGUCGAACGAUUAAAGCUCUCUUCGGAGAGUGCAUAGAGUGGCGCACGGGUGAGUAACACGUAAGUAAUCUACCCUCGAGUGGGGAAUAACGUCCGGAAACGGACGCUAAUACCGCAUAAUGCAGCGGCAUCGCAAGAUGACAGUUGUUAAAGAUUUAUCGCUUGAGGAGGAGCUUGCGGCAGAUUAGCUAGUUGGUAAGGUAAUGGCUUACCAAGGCUACGAUCUGUAUCCGGUCUAAGAGGACGGUCGGACACACUGACACUGAAUAACGGGUCAGACUCCUACGGGAGGCAGCAGUCGGGAAUUUUGGGCAAUGGGCGAAAGCCUGACCCAGCAACGCCGCGUGAAGGAUGAAGUAUUUCGGUAUGUAAACUUCGAAAGAAUAGGAAGAAUAAAUGACGGUACUAUUUAUAAGCUCCGGCUAACUACGUGCCAGCAGCCGCGGUAAAUCUCG